UCUUCCACCAUGCGGCUGCACUGUAGUCUCUCUGAGCUUACUGGCUAAGGCUGCUGCCAGAUGCCAGAUUUGCAAAUCAUUCUUUGCUCAGUUAAAUUCUGUUAAAUUUAAUUUGUCUAAGGGUUUUUUUUUUUUUUUUUUUUUUUUUUUUUAACAGAUGGUGUCAGAAGAGGAAUCUAAAGUAGAGCUUCCAGUGACCCCCAGGAGCAUCGAGUGACCAAGCGAGGUAACUGUAGGACACAUUGUGUCCACUGCUCUUUCACAGCAACUGGGGAUCAUGAGAUGGGGUUUUACCAUGGGUCCCAGACUGGUGUUCCAAAGUGGUGAAUGUGAUUUUAAUAAAUCCUGUUUCAAUUGGGGGAUCAUCUGGUAUCCUGGAAGAAUGGGCAACUGGCUCUUGUCACCACCCCCAGCUUAGACUCCUCUGGCGUGUAUCCUGAACUAUUGGGACUGCUUUGACUCUCAGAAUCUGGAGGAAAAAUGAUUCAUAGUCCUCUGCACAAAGGUUUGGCCAAAUUAUGAUUUACAGCAGGGACUAACUUGUCCUCAGGAAGGAACCAUUCAUUUCAACAUCAUCUGUCAGUUGGAACUUUUCUGCAGAUGUGAGGACAGAUGGUCUGAGGCCCCAAAUGUGCAGGCUUUCUAUACAUUGCAAGGCAAUCCAGACCUUUGCUAACAGUGUAGAAUUGAUCCAGCCCUCCUGUUUGCCAUCUCAGGGAAGGCUGCAAGGGGUAAGUCCAGGGAAUUAAAGAGUUCUGGAGGUACUCCCAGCAGAGGAACCAGCUCUCAGGCCCAGCUCCUCUGGGUCCACCUCAACCUCCCUAUUCAGCUCUCACUUACCCCCUCCCAAAAAUCCUCACCCUAAGCAAGCCCCAGUCUCACUCUUGCCCCUUCAACAAAUGCCCAGCGAAUUUGGGCCCAGUAAGGUCCAGGUCCCCUUCUCCCUACAGGAAUUAAAGCAAAUUAAGGGGGAUCUUGGCAAGUUUUCAGGUGACUCUGAUAGUUAUACAUAGGUUUUACAGAAUCUCACCCAAAUAUUUGAACUCUCCUGGAGAGAUGUUGUGUUACUUUUGAAUUAGACCCUGACAGACACGAGAAGCAGGUAAGCAGCAGAGAGAUUUGAUGAUGUGCUUUGCACCAUAUAUAGCAUCAGAGAAGGGAAUGAACAGUAACCAACUGGAAGAGAAGCAGCACCAGUGAAGGCCCCUAAAUGGGAUCUCAGUGAUGAGAUGGGAGACUGGAAAAGGAGACACUUUCAGGUGUGCAUAAUGGAGGGCUUAGGUAUGACUAAGACCAAGUCUCUCAAUUAUACUGUUGUCCAUGAUUGACCAGGGAUUUGAUGGAAAUCAGACUGCCUUCCUGGAGAGGCAAAGAGAGGCCUUGGUAAAGCACACCUCUAUCUCCUGAUUCAGUUCAGGGAAAGCUAAUCCCAAAGGAUGGAUUUAUUAGUCAGGCAGCUCCUGAUAUCAGGAGGAAAGCUACAAAAACAGACCCUGGGACAGACAGUACAUUAGAGGACCUCCUGAAGGCGGUGUCUUUUAUAAUAGAGAAAGAGGCAAAAGCUUUCAUGGCCGCCACCCAAGGUCAUAAACCCCAGAAUUUCCAUGGUACACCUGCUAACUGCUACAGAUAUGCCAAGAACAUAUCUGCAGCUCUUCUAAAGUUUAACCGCUCCCAUACAAAGUUUAAUUUCUUUCACCAGGGUGAAACAGCUCUGGGUACAAUGUUGUUAGUAUAUUUCACUUCUUAUCUCUGUAAUCUUUGGCACUAAAUUCUUUCCUUGUACAAUACACAUAUUUAAACCCUGCAUACUUAACCUUAUAAAACUUGUUCUUUUUCUCUCAUGCCUAGAAGCCACCAAACUCCAAACGGUCAGGCAACUGGAGCCUCAGAUGAUGGCUCUCAUUUAUCAGGAAGCCCUAGAUAGACCUCUGGGAGGAAUCUGACUGCCAUUUUCCCCAAAACAGUGCCCCUGUUAGCCGGAAGCAGCUAAAAUAGGUCAUCAUCCAUAUUUUAAUGGACGUUAGAUGUACCUCUUCAGAGGAGGGAAAUGACAUGGGAGAGGAGCAGGGAAGUGCUGGGAGGAGAAGGGUAGGGACCCUGGUGAGGGCCUGUGCCCACAGUGCUAGGUGAGGACAGGCACUUCUGUUUUCAUGCCCAAAUGUUGCAUUUUCCAAGACAACCCUGGCCUGCCAUGCCUCCAUCCUGUGCCUGUAAAAACCUCGAAAUCUUAGUGGGCACAGACACAAAGGGCUGGAUGUCGAGAGGAACACACUGGCAGAAGAACACACUGACAGACACCAGCAGACACUGGCAGGCCAUCUUCAGUGACACGAGGUGGAGUUUGACCAAGGGUGGUCAGAGAAGAGCCCGGCCACUGGGUGGCCCGACUGUAGGGGAAGACCACCUUCCCACUCCAUUUCCCUUCUGGCUUGCCAUCCAUCUGCUGAGAGCUACUUCCACCAUUCAGUAAAACUGUACACUCAUUCUCGAGGUCCAUGUGUGAUCCUAUUUUUCCAGUAAACUAAGGCAAGGACCCAGGAUACAGAAAGCCCUCUGUCCUUGCAAUAAGGCAGAGGAUCUAACUGAACUGAUUAACACAUGCCACUUGCAGACGACAAAGCUGAAAGAGUGCACAGUAGCACACGCAGGCUAGGGCUUUGGGAGCUGUGAACACUCAGCCCUAGACAUUGCUCUGUGGUAGGCACUCCCCGUGAGCUGCCUGUUUGGAUGCUCCUGCUAUGGGUAUUAGCAGUGGAGCACCAAAAAAGUGAGCCACACCCCAUCACAGGCCCUGUGAGGGGAAUAAGGGAACUUUCCUGUUUCAGUUCCUGUAUCAUAUUGUGUAUUUUCAGGGUCACAGGACUCCUGACUGUUAAUUAGUACUGUGUUUCGUGAGCUUUCUGAAGUAUGUUGAAUGCAAGGCUAAGCAUAUGACUUUCUAACUUGCCCAAAGUGUCCCUGAUUGUUGAAGCACAGAUAGUGAAAUAGGAACAGACUGCAGUGGUCAUUGAUUUGCUGAAACUAGUUAACCCACAUUUAAUGAAGAAUAGAGUUGUAAAAAAACAUGUUUUUAAGUUGUUUGUUUCUAGCAGUAGAUGAUACUAAAGAGAGGUAUAGAGAACAAAAGGGAUCAUAGGAGAAGUAUAAGGGAUGAGGUAAUUUGGCAAAAUUUCAAGACAUUUCCUGAAAAUGUAGACAUUGUUAAUUUUGCAGGCUGAAGGAAAAAUGAAGUAAAGGUGGAGAUUGUCUUUAAAUAUUCUUGCAUUAAUUUCAUUGAACAUGGUGACUGAUCUCUGCUAGAAUUUCUUUUUGCUGUCUUAUAGCUAAGGGAAAAUACACGUUUCUUUCUUUUUUUUUUUUUUUUUAAUCACAAUGUAAUGUCUCUGCCUUUCGGUUGAAAUAAUCUAUAAUCUACACCUAUAGUCUAUAAGAUUCUCUGCAGAGUAGUUGACAGUCAAGUGUUCAAUAAAGAGUGAUCUAUCCUGGAACCUGUAUAAUUAGAUUUCAUUUUGCUUAGUUUAUAUUAGGUUGGUACAAAAGUAAUUGCACUUUUUGCUAUUACUUUUAAUGUGAAAAAAUGCAAUUACUCUUGCAACAACCUGAUACAUAGUUUUCACUUGGUCAUUUAGAAAAGAUACAUUAAAUAUUGUUUUUUGUUUUAGAAGUCUUUGCUCUUCAGUCUAGCAGUAAGUUUCUUUCACAUUAGCUUUCAAAAAGUGA